UACGUAGGGUGCAAGCGUUUGUCCGGAAUUAUUGGGCGUAAAGAGCUCGUAGGCGGUCUGUCACGUCGGCUGUGAAAUCCCGAGGCUCAACCUCGGGUCUGCAGUCGAUACGGGCAAACUAGAGUAUUGCAGGGGAGACUGGAAUUCCUGGUGUAGCGGUGAAAUGCGCAGAUAUCAGGAGGAACACCGACGGCGUAGGCAGCGCCCCUAGACGAGACCUGACGCUCAGGCACGAAAGCGCGGGGAGCGAACAGG
rnacentral:rRNA from 1 species